AAGGGAGUGGCGGAAUUGGUAGACGCACUAUUUGUGAUGAUCAGCAUACGAGUAAGGUCGGUGAUUGAUAUCAGGUAGCAAGUAGAUUGGAAAACAAGAUGCAGCAUAGGAAGUACAAUACAGGUUCAAGUCCUGUCUCCCUUA
rnacentral:tRNA from 1 species